AUUGAACGCUGGCGGCAGGCCUAACACAUGCAAGUCGAGCGGAUGAAGGGAGCUUGCUCCUGGAUUCAGCGGCGGACGGGUGAGUAAUGCCUAGGAAUCUGCCUGGUAGUGGGGGCUAACGUCCGGAAACGGGCGCUAAUACCGCAUACGUCCUGAGGGAGAAAGUGGGGGAUCUUCGGACCUCACGCUAUCAGAUGAGCCUAGGUCGGAUUAGCUAGUUGGUGGGGUAAAGGCCUACCAAGGCGACGAUCCGUAACUGGUCUGAGAGGAUGAUCAGUCACACUGGAACUGAGACACGGUCCAGACUCCUACGGGAGGCAGCAGUGGGGAAUAUUGGACAAUGGGCGAAAGCCUGAUCCAGCCAUGCCGCGUGUGUGAAGAAGGUCUUCGGAUUGUAAAGCACUUUAAGUUGGGAGGAAGAGCAGUAAGUUAAUACCUUGCUGUUUUGACGGUACCAAAAGAAUAAGCACCGGCUAACUUCGUG
rnacentral:rRNA from 1 species